GGAGAAGUUUGCAUUUUUAGAUUAGCCAUUGUGACUUUUAGUUGGGAUUUUCGUGUGUCUCUAAUUUUCCAUUAUCUUCCAUCCCUGUCUGAAUUGGAUUCUGCAGGACUGCGGAGUGCGAGAAGUAGACGGAAAGCUUCUCCAACUGCUGCUCGUAGGCUGGGUCCCAGUAGAGUGACUGCGGAACCUCUUCGUCGUACUCCGCGUCCGAAUAGCUGUUGCUGUUGCUGCUGCUUUGGGAGUUGAAGGACCUUCCAUUCACCGGGGCCAGUGUCGGGAGUGCCAGCGAUACGGGCAUGUUGAGCAAGAAACCUGGAGUCAAUGCGAGAAAAUCCAAAAGCAUCAGAAAGGAAUAGACGAAAUAGAACUAAUAACAUGGGCCACCCUCCAAACUCCAUGAUGUAUCUCUACAUGUUUGAUGUAUUUUGGUGAUGACGUUUUGACAUGAGAUAUCCAGCCUACUCAAGGAAACUUUUAAUUUAAAUAUGCCUUUGAUAAGAAAUUUCAUUUUAUUUCUAUUGACACAAAAUUUCAUUCAAAUCAUCGACUAAGCUACUUGGGAAUUGCCCAAUACUUCUGUGAUUCUUAGUUGUUCCGAUGGAAAUACAAACCUACACUUUCAUAGAUGGAGUACUUACCACAAAGUGGGUUGUGGCUGUUUUCAGGCAUAGAUAAAAAACAAAUGCCGAAUGGGCAGGCCUAUACGUAAUUCACUAGUGACCUAAGCUAAAAAAUACAUUGUUCAUAUACGAAACAAACCUUUGGUCUUAACAUUAGGAUUUACCAGCGCCAAGCUGGAAACCGGUAGAAUUAAAAUUAAAUUUGUGAGAUUCAGGGACUAUUGGCAUCUAUACCAGGUCACGGGGCAUGUAUUACCCAGAAUGCCCUUGGCGUCCCGUGACCCACCAGCUAUUUUUCUACCGCCUUUAAGAUAGGACGUGUUCACUGUCUAUCUGAUUUAUAGCCGGUUUCAGUUUGCCCGUUUUUAUCCAUUUCACUUUCAUUUUUCUUGUUAAUUUUCUUUCUCUGAGUGUGCUCAGUGUGGGUGUGAUCUUUAAGAGUGGUGAGAUGGAGAUUUUUGCUUCACCAUCGGGAUCUUCUUCCGUUUCGAAGAGGAGACGAAAGAAAUGCCCUGGAGUUGGGGGGUAUCCGUGUUCAAGAUUCCUAACUUCGGUGACGACGAAUCCUUAUCCAGCGUGUAGUAGGUGCAGAGAAAAUGUAUGUACAAUUACUAAUCUUUGUUCUGUUUGUCGUGGUUGGUCGGUGGAAAGGUGGAGGAAGUUUUAUGAGAAAGGCCAGUACAAAAGAAAGGAGACGACGCCAUCUUUGGAUGACCCACCCCUGACAGAACAGCCAUUACCUCACCUCGCUUAUGCUCAGGAACCUCAGAAGGCUUUUAUUCUGCAAGAGGAAGUGAAGAUGAGGAUGGAAAAAGGGGCUGUGGAACAAGUAUCCAUUCUGUCAAAGGGGUUUUACAGCAGGAUUUUCCUUAUACCCAAAGCCAACGGGGACUGGAGGACAGUAAUAGACCUGUUAACAUUGAAUCUGUUUAUAAGAAAAACCAGAUUCAAAAUGGAAACUCCAAAGACUGUUCUACAGCAGUCAGGAUCAAGGACUUUAUGCUGACAAUUGAUUUGAAGGAUGCAUACCUUCAGAUCCCAGUCCAUCAGUCUUUUCCAGGAAAUUUCUCCGCUUCAGUCUUGCAGAGAAAGUUUUCGAGUCCAAAGUCCUGUGCUUUGGAUUGACAACGUCUCCUCAAGUUUUUGCAAGAGUGUUCACUCUCGUGUCGACGUGGGCGCAUGCUUAGGGGAUCAGGCUAAUAAGAUAUCUAGAUGAUUGGCUGGUGAUGGCAAAGUCCAGAGAGAAAUUACUCAGGGACAGGGCGACCCUUCUGCAGUUUUGUCACAGCUUGGGUAUUGUGAUAAAUCAAGUCAAUGGCUGGUGUAUCUAGGAAUGGUCAUAGACACAAUAAAAGCCAAAGUAUUCCCAACAGACCAGAGAGUAGAGAAAUGCAAACAAAUGGUGAAUGCCUUUCUGGAAAAACAAACACAGACAGCAAGGCAAUGGCAGGUAGUACUGGGAGUUCUAACUUCCUUGGAGAAGCUAGUACCAUAAGGGAGGCUACACCUUCAAUCUCUACAAUGGAGGAUGAAGGAUUUUUGGUCACCAAUAGUAGAUCACCCGUAUGAGCAAAUUCCCUUGUCGGCAGAAGUGAGGAAAGACUUCCUGUGGUGGGUGAACGACAGCAAUCUGACAGUGGGUGUUCCCCUUCAGCAACCCUCCCUGGAUCUCUUGCUGUUCUCAGAUGUGUCACUAGAAGGUUGGGGAGCCGAUAUGGAGGAGCUGAUGGUUUCAGCAAAAUGGAGUGGCGAGGACAGAGAACUCCAUAUAGCACUACAUGAAUUCAGGGAGAGGGUGAAGGGGCAAUCAGUGAUAUUGAUGUCAGACAACACCACAGUAGUAGCUUAUGUAAACAAACAAGGAGGCCCAGUUUCUCGGCAGUUACAUGUGAUGACAGUUCAACUUCAUCAGUGGGCUGUAGAGAAUCUAGUAGACAUCAGGGCCAGAUAUAUUCCGGGAAAAAGAAACAUAGUGGCCAACAAGUUGAGCCGAAGGGAUCAGAUCCUGGGAAUGGAGUGGUUCUUGCACCAACAGGUAGUGGACAGGAUGCUCAUGUUAUGGGAAAGGCCGAUCAUAGACCUAUU